CAGGAACUGAAUGAUGGCAGAGCCAGUUCGUUGAACUUGAAGGCUGAAACCAUAGAAAAGCCCAUGCUUAGUCAGGAAACGUGGAAAACCAGCAGAGAGAAACAAGGAUUUGCAUUUUAGUGGCUACGUAUGUCUUGCAUGCAAACCAAAGGACAUCUAAGAGGAAGGAUGAAGAAAAAAGAGCACAGUCUUCAUCAGCCCUCAUCCACUGACGUCAGAAAUGGGAGAUGGUGAGAGACAUCCCAGCCAAGCUCCUGCAGGAGUAGAGCAGAGAGGGGACAGAAGAUGAUGAGGGAGGACUGAGAGAGGGUGGGAAAUCUGUCUGUGCUGGAGCUGGAAGACGUGGCUGGAUAGCGCAGCCCUUGGACGGCAGAUGACAGGACCCCAGGCCCUCC
ensembl:lncRNA